UACGUAGGGGGCUAGCGUUGUCCGGAUUUAUUGGGCGUAAAGAGCGUGUAGGCGGCCGGGUAGGUCUGGUGUGAAAACUCGAGGCUUAACCUCGAGAUGUCAUCGGAAACCAUCUGGCUAGAGUCCGGAAGAGGAGAGUGGAAUUCCUGGUGUAGCGGUGAAAUGCGCAGAUAUCAGGAAGAACACCAAUGGCGAAAGCAGCUCUCUGGGACGGUACUGACGCUGAGACGCGAAAGCGUGGGGAGCGAACAGG
rnacentral:rRNA from 1 species